GACGAACGCUGGCGGCGUGCUUAACACAUGCAAGUCGAGCGAUGAAACUCCUUCGGGAGUGGAUUAGCGGCGGACGGGUGAGUAACACGUGGGUAACCUGCCUCAUAGAGGGGAAUAGCCUUCCGAAAGGAAGACUAAUACCGCAUAAGAUUGUAGUACCGCAUGGUACAGCAAUUAAAGGAGUAAUCCGCUAUGAGAUGGACCCGCGUCGCAUUAGCUAGUUGGUGAGGUAACGGCUCACCAAGGCGACGAUGCGUAGCCGACCUGCGAGGGUGAUCGGCCACAUUGGGACUGAGACACGGCCCAGACUCCUACGGGAGGCAGCAGUGGGGAAUAUUGCACAAUGGGGGAAACCCUGAUGCAGCAACGCCGCGUGAGUGAUGACGGUCUUCGGAUUGUAAAACUCUGUCUUCAGGGACGAUAAUGACGGUACCUGAGGAGGAAGCCACGGCUAACUACGUGCCAGCCGCCGCCGUAA
rnacentral:rRNA from 1 species